AGUGGCGAGGCCAUCUCCAAGGCGAUGAUGGACAUCUUCAACACCCAUGGUUCUCCUGAGGUCCAUCUUGAGUGACCGAGGUCAUGGAUGCUGGAACAAGGUUUGGUGAUGGACCAACCAGACUCUCAAGACUGCCAUGGGCCAGUCCCUUGAUUGGUAUCAGGAAGGUUGGGAGAACAACCUGAAGAGUUACCUCGGUGGAAGCCAACAAUCUUCUCCAGUUGGAGCAGUUGGACGGUCGAUCACUGAAAGCACUGACGCCCUACACUUCAGGGAAGCCCAAUAGACAAAGARCACACUGUCCGAGCCCCCCAGGAGGUAUCCCACCCACCAGUGAGUUUGGAUCAGUCUGAUUCUCUGUGCUCUGAGUCGGAGGGGGACCAGCUUGAGGACCUCGGGGUUCUGCCCAACACUCAGACGUGGAUCCAUCUGAUGUCCUCCAUUCCCAACCACCCUCCAACCUUUCAUUACAUCCUCUACAGCUACUGUUGUUGUCAUGUUGUCAUUAUCUGCUAAGAAGGUUUUCUUGCUCUAUCAUAUCGGGCUCAUAAUAUGUGAGAUACACAGAUGAACUAAAAACACUAGCACUGCAAA